rnacentral:lncRNA from 10 species
GAGAAAUCAAAGCCAGAGAGCAUCUCAGGAAGAGCUGAUGGCUACCAGCACUGAAUACCACAGAGAUUAUUACAUCGCAAGACAAUGCAUCGCUCCAGCAAGGAUAACAAAGCGAAUGGGAAGGAAAGGGUUAUGAAGAGUUCAUGGAAGGCACCUUAGGCAGACUACUUUUAGGAAAGAGUGGAUGUGGAAGCUAAGUAUCUGGAAAUUGAUUUCCUUAGAACAGUUUGUGUUUGCAUGUCUUCUGAAAGGUUUUAUGUACUCCCAAGAGUGAAGCAGCAAGUCUUGCUUAAGCAAAGCUGGUGAAAUCAGAGCCUGGUCCAAGGCUCAGAAGCGUUUGCGGGGAAAAGCAAACACUUUUUGUGGGAGAAGGAAACAAAGGAGAAGAGAGGAGGAGGAAGAAAUUGAAAAAGAAGGGGAAGAGAAGAGGAAAAGAAAAAGAGACGUUGAGAGAAAGAAAAACAGAGAGCUGUGUGUGAUUGGAUGCCAUGACUCCUCAGUCUUAGUGCUAAUGCCGUUGUUACCUAACUCUAUUUAGGGAACUUUCCAGAACAAAGCGAAGCUUUGUGGGCCUGGCUUUCAGAACUUAUGCAACAAUUGUUUUGGGAGCAGACUGAAAAUUUUACAAGAGAACUGAGUUUUCAAGAGACUGACGGUGUGACCAAAAGAUCAAAGGUUUGGUGCAGUGGGACUAAGUUUCAGGCAGCCUUUCAAAUUGUGAAGACUUUCCUCCCUGUUAUGGCAGUUAAGACAUGUGAAAAUGGUAGUUCGAGACACUUAUAAGCAACUUUCUUCUUAGUUCACAAUGUUCCAUGAAUGUCAGUGCCCUCCAAACUCACGAGAACAAAGCAGGCAACCAGGAUGAUUACUCCCAAAUCAUUGAUAAAAGGAGAGAGAAGUACAGAGAUACACAGUGAUUUGUGUGGGUUGCCAAAAAGUUGCACGGUCAGUUUGACAACUGUUAUUGCCUUCAGGUUGACAAAUUGCAAAAGCAGCAUUGCUGUGUAUGGGUGGGGAGGGAGGAGGAAUUGCAUGAGUAAGAAUGAGAUGAGCAAUAGUUAGGUGGGGUGGAAAUGAAAUCUCAACAGUUAUUGGGGAUUCUGAUGUAUUUAUCAAACCAAAAGACGAUCUAAAAGCCAUACAAUCAGACUUAGAUUAGGGCAGUCUGUGAUAAGCAAAAGUUAAUAUAGUGUGUUGUUUUUGAAAAUAUGGCAUGA